AGCGCGUUCGGGCCUUGGUUCGUUUGGGGGUCUUGGGCCAAACAAGCAAAGCCUCUCAAUGCAUCCACACCAGUCCAACGAAUUCGCUUCUUCAUGUAGUUGAAACAACAAAUGAAAUGGAGAAAAACGCUUAUUUCAAAUAAGCUGCAACGCGCGUCAACCAUCUCGGCGUCGCCUCAUCAAUCGUGUUCGGACGAUUCCUUGGUCCCGACAAGAAGAAGCAAUUAAAUCACGGCAAUGCAUCUCCGUUCUUCAGCUUCUACGUUUUCCAUGCUCGAAGUCGGACUCAAGGUGAAAAAGAAUAUGACGAAUCACUGCGUCGUAACCGAUUCAGUCUCCGAAUUCAACAUCCAACAUUCACGUUCCACUCAUCUUCGUGCACGCGUAAAUGGAAAGAACGAAAUCGAACCGAAAAAACUCACUGAAUCGAAACUUUGACGUGAACAGGUUGCUUUCUGUAGUUGUAUAUAAUCUCCAUAAAAGUUAAGUUCAACAACACAUAAUGAUUUGGUCGAUAUAGCAGUUAAAAAAGAGUGAUGUCCAUUGAUUUAGGAUCCGUUGGAGAAGACAAUAUACAUUCUUCCAUGCCAAGCUCUCUAAAAGUCAUUCCUCCAACGAAUUAAGAUGUCGUCUCCACUCUCUUGGGAGAGAUUCCUCGUGUCGAAAAGCUGUAAUUCCAGUCCGCUCUAGUACAGCAGGGAACAACAUCAUUACGGUCUUGUGAGUAGCCAGGACUAGUUCUACGGAACAGGCAAGCAUGCACCUAUGGAAUAUUUGGUAAGCAGUGAAGUUUGAUUGUCGUCGAGUAUUUGAGCUUCUGCUCUGCACAUUGUUGCAAGUCCCCUGUAGUGUAACUUCAGUGCUACUAAUCUUCGUUUUUCAGCCCAUGUGUUGUCAUGAGGUUAGCACUUUGUAGGCUUCCAGUUACACAUCGAUCACCAAGGGGACCAAUAGGAAAUUUUGCUUGAAAUAAAAUCCGUGCUCUGCAUAUUACAACACUCGUAAUAUCCUUGUCACAUGAUGUCAAAAACCGCUUUAGCUAUUAUGAGGGCUUUGACAGAAGUGGGGAAAUGACGGUACAAAGCCACUUUACCGUAGUCAUAGCUGUGCUUACAGGGGUGGAAGCAAUCAUUGACUUCGUACUACUUGGAAUGCCGUUAGCAUGGGAGGCAGGAGACAGGUGGUAAUGAAAUGGAUUGGAAUUGUAUGUGAAUUGGUGAAUGUAACUUUGAGGUUUUGAUGAAAUAACAUGUUGGAAUUGAAUCCAAAGAUUGAAUUGAAAAGUAAUUUGAUGACUUGAAUGCAUUUUUGGAGAAUAUGGAACUAUUGCUAGUGCUGUAGUAAUGAGAGAUGUAGAUGGUAAACCGAAAUGUCUCGGUUCAGUAUGUAAUAUGAAGUGUUGCAUUGCUUGUAAUUCAUGGCUAUGUUUUUAGCUCUUGACCAUGUUUCAAUUGUGCAUUUCCUUGAUUCUAACCCCAUUCACCAUGCCAUGAUUUGAAAAGUUCAUGUUCUAAUUUGGGCUCAUGUUUUGCCUCUUGUUUAUGUAGGUUAUUUGGACAAUGCAAUACGACAACAAGACUUGGUUUUGGGCUAUCAUGUACAAAAUGCAACAAUCCAAAAGUCAAGGAUCAAAUAAUGAAUAUUAAAGAUGGAACUAGGAUUAGGGUUAUAGGAAUUAGAACCUUAAGAAAAUUGGGUUGAUUUUGGUCAAAGUUGACCAAGAAGACAACUGUUGACCAAAGUCAACAUUUGGUCAACAUUUCAGCCUUUUGUAAUUUUUCCAUUUUGGACACUUGUGAUGUAAUGUAGUGAAUUGAAAUGGUAUUUUGAAUGAAAUGAAUAAUAUUGACAUGUUUUGAAAUGAAUAAGACAACUUGAAAUUUAUGAGAA